GAUGAACGCUGGCGGCGUGCCUAAUACAUGCAAGUCGAGCGAACAGACGAGGAUCUUGCUCCUCUGACGUUAGCGGCGGACAGGUGAGUAACCCGUGGAUAACCUACCUAUCAGACUGGGAUAACUUCGGGAAACCGGGGCUAAUACCGGAUAAUAUAUUCAACCGCAUGGUUCACUAGUGAAAGACGGUUUUGCUGUCACUUAUAGAUGGAUCCGCGCCGCAUUAGCUAGUUGGUAAGGUAACGGCUUACCAAGGCACCGAUGCGUAGCCGACCAGGGAGGGGGAUCGUACACAGUGGAAGAGAGACACGGGCCAGACUGCUACGGGGGGCAGCAGUAGGGAACCACCCGAAGCGGCCGAGAGCAUGACGGAGCAACGCGGCGUGAGUGAUGAAGGUAUUCGGAUGGGAAAACUCUGUUAUUAGGGAAGAACAAAUGUGUAACUAACUAUGCACGUCUUGACGGUACCUAAGCAGAAAGCCACGGCUAACUACGUG
rnacentral:rRNA from 1 species